GAUCUUAUUGAAUAGAUAACCAAGCGCUGCAUUCGAAUUGUCAAAAAUCCAGAAUAUGCUGAGGUCAUUGCAUGUGUUUUGUGCAGAGGUUAUCAGUUUAGAAAAUCUGGAUUUGGUCCACACACAGUAAUAGUUUGUGAUUAGAAUGAAGAGUGUUCCUGUGGUCGAUCUAGGAGAAAGGAAGAUUGAUAUCAUCAUCACACAGUCUACUGUUAUUCACAUGUUGGAGGAAUGCGCCGGUCUUUUACCAGUCUAGUGUUAUUUAAUUUUUCUUGUGUAGUUGGAUGAGCACUCGUCCCAUGAAAGAAUUUGUUU